CUGGGUUUGAUUUUACAGAAAUAAAUAAAUGCCGUGUUGAAUUACAUGUUGGAUGUUAUAAUGGCGAGUCCUCCGCCACGCUGUUGGGAGAGAUCGAGAGACUGAGAAUGAGGCGGAGAACUUUAGAAUGGGAUGGAGAACGGGGCGGAGCACUAGAGAAUGAGCUGGAGAACGGUAGCGCGAGACGGAGAGCUGGAGAAUGAGACUGAGAACGGGACGGAGAAGUAGAGAAUGAGACUGAGAACGAGACGGAGAACGGGACGGAUGAAUAGAGAAUGAGACUGAGAACGAGACGGAGAACGAACGGAGAAGUAGAGAAUGAGACUGAGAACGGAGAACGGAGAAGUAGAGAAUGAGACUGAGAAGAGACGGAGAAGUAGAGAACGAGACGGAGAACGGGACGGAGAAGUAGAGAAUGAGACUGAGAACGGAGAACGGACGGAAGUAGAGAAUGAGACUGAGAACGAGACGGAGAACGAGACGGAGAAGUAGAGAAUGAGACUGAGAACGAGACGGAGAAGUAGAGAAUGAGACGGAGAACGGGAGAACGAGACGGAGACAGGAUGGUCAGACGGACAGAC
ensembl:lncRNA